GACGUAGGGCGCGAGCGUUGUCCGGAUUUAUUGGGCGUAAAGAGCUCGUAGGCGGCUUGUCGCGUCGUCCGUGAAAACCCACAGCUCAACUGUGGGCUUGCGGUCGAUACGGGCAGGCUGGAGUUCGGUGGGAGGGACUGGAAUUCCUGGUGUAGCGGUGAAAUGCGCAGAUAUCAGGAGGAACACCGGUGGCGAAGGCGGGUCUCUGGGCCGAUACUGACGCUGAGGAGCGAAAGCGUGGGGAGCGAACAGG
rnacentral:rRNA from 1 species